UAAGUUUGUCAGACGUUUCGCCGGUUAGGGCUUGUGUCAUUUGUGUCACUGAUGAAGCCCUAACCGGCGAAACGUCUGACAAACUUA